rnacentral:rRNA from 1 species
AGAGUUUGAUCCUGGCUCAGGAUGAACGCUAGCGACAGGCUUAACACAUGCAAGUCGAGGGGCAGCACAGGUAGCAAUACCGGGUGGCGACCGGCGCACGGGUGAGUAACGCGUAUGCAACUUACCUAUCAGAGGGGGAUAACCCGGCGAAAGUCGGACUAAUACCGCAUGAAGCAGGGGCCCCGCAUGGGGAUAUUUGCUAAAGAUUCAUCGCUGAUAGAUAGGCAUGCGUUCCAUUAGGCAGUUGGCGGGGUAACGGCCCACCAAACCGACGAUGGAUAGGGGUUCUGAGAGGAAGGUCCCCCACAUUGGUACUGAGACACGGACCAAACUCCUACGGGAGGCAGCAGUGAGGAAUAUUGGUCAAUGGCCGAGAGGCUGAACCAGCCAAGUCGCGUGAGGGAUGAAGGUUCUAUGGAUCGUAAACCUCUUUUAUAAGGGAAUAAAGUGCGGGACGUGUCCCGUUUUGUAUGUACCUUAUGAAUAAGGAUCGGCUAACUCCGUGCCAGCAGCCGCGGUAAUACGGAGGAUCCGAGCGUUAUCCGGAUUUAUUGGGUUUAAAGGGUGCGUAGGCGGCCUUUUAAGUCAGCGGUGAAAGUCUGUGGCUCAACCAUAGAAUUGCCGUUGAAACUGGGGGGCUUGAGUAUGUUUGAGGCAGGCGGAAUGCGUGGUGUAGCGGUGAAAUGCAUAGAUAUCACGCAGAACCCCGAUUGCGAAGGCAGCCUGCCAAGCCAUUACUGACGCUGAUGCACGAAAGCGUGGGGAUCAAACAGGAUUAGAUACCCUGGUAGUCCACGCAGUAAACGAUGAUCACUAGCUGUUUGCGAUACACUGUAAGCGGCACAGCGAAAGCGUUAAGUGAUCCACCUGGGGAGUACGCCGGCAACGGUGAAACUCAAAGGAAUUGACGGGGGCCCGCACAAGCGGAGGAACAUGUGGUUUAA